AUGGAAAUUAUCAUCCUCAUCUCACUUGUUGUGCUUCUUGUACUGGGAGCACUCUUUGUUAUCCCAAGAUCCAAAAACAAAGGUGAAGGAAAGGAUGCACGUUCAGCCGGAAAUGGAACGACAUCUACGAGCUAUUCAAAGAAAGAGGUGUCAACACACAACACAAGGAAGGAUUGUUGGAUCAUAAUCAAGGACAAGGUUUACGAUGUAACUCCAUACGUGGAGGAACAUCCAGGUGGUGAUGCCAUUCUAAACAAUGCUGGUGGCGAUUCGACAGAGGGAUUUUUCGGCCCGCAGCAUGGCACACGAGUCUUCGACAUCAUCGAGGAUUUCUGCAUCGGCAAAUUGGAAGACUGA
rnacentral:rRNA from 1 species